UACGGGGGGGGCAAGCGUUGUUCGGAAUUACUGGGCGUAAAGGGCUCGUAGGCGGCCAACUAAGUCAGACGUGAAAUCCCUCGGCUUAACCGGGGAACUGCGUCUGAUACUGGAUGGCUUGAGUGUGGGAGAGGGAUGCGGAAUUCCAGGUGUAGCGGUGAAAUGCGUAGAUAUCUGGAGGAACACCGGUGGCGAAAGCGGCAUCCUGGACCGACACUGACGCUGAGGAGCGAAAGCCAGGGGAGCAAACGGG
rnacentral:rRNA from 1 species